CAUCUCGACCUCUCUCAGAAUCUCCUCACCGGCGAGCUUCCGGCCUCGAUUUCUGAUCUCCCCAACCUUCGUUACUUGGAUUUGACUGGGAAUAACUUCUCCGGCGACAUUCCGGAGAGUUUCGCUCGGUUUCAGAAGUUGGAAGUUCUGUCUCUUGUUUAUAAUCUUCUUGAUGGGCCUAUGCCGGCGUUUCUCGGCAACAUUACGUCGUUGAAGAUGUUGAACCUGUCUUAUAACCCUUUUGAGCCCAGUCGGAUCCCGACGGAGUUUGGGAAUUUGAUGAAUCUUGAGGUGCUCUGGC
rnacentral:lncRNA from 1 species